rfam:Chloroflexi bacterium 13_1_20CM_54_36 13_1_20cm_full_scaffold_2483, whole genome shotgun sequence.
GUCAGGAACCCAAUCCUCUUUUAGGGGAUGGGCUUGUGUGAACAAGCUCACCUGACCAGACUCAGCUCGCAAGAGCUACGUUACGAACGAAAUAGGUACGUUGGGAUGCGUCGCCAGUUCCAACCGCUACGGUAGCAGGUUAAACAGAGAUACAAGGGUUAACUCCGUGCUUGUUACGCGAAACCGUUCAGUAACCUUGUCAAGGCGAACAUUAC